rnacentral:rRNA from 1 species
GACGAACCGUGCAACCGUUGUUCGGAAUCACUGGGCUUAAAGGGCGCGUAGGCGGGCAGGCAAGUCCGGGGUGAAAUCUUUCGGCUUAACCGGAAAAGUGCCUUGGAUACUGCUUGUCUGGAGGGAGGUAGGGGCAUGUGGAACUUCUGGUGGAGCGGUGAAAUGCGUUGAUAUCAGAAGGAACGCCGGUGGCGAAAGCGACGUGCUGGACCUCUUCUGACGCUGAUGCGCGAAAGCUAGGGGAGCAAACGGG